rnacentral:rRNA from 1 species
GAUGAACGCUGGCGGCGUGCCUAAUACAUGCAAGUCGAGCGAACAGAUGAGGAGCUUGCUCCUCUGACGUUAGCGGCGGACGGGUGAGUAACACGUGGAUAACCUACCUAUAAGACUGGGAUAACUUCGGGAAACCGGAGCUAAUACCGGAUAAUAUAUUGAACCGCAUGGUUCCAUAGUGGAAGACGGUUUUGCUUUCACUUAUAGAUGGAUCCGCGCCGCAUUAGCUAGUUGGUAAGGUAACGGCUUACCAAGGCAACGAUGCGUAGCCGACCUGAGAGGGUGAUCGGCCACACUGGAACUGAGACACGGUCCAGACUCCUACGGGAGGCAGCAGUAGGGAAUCUUCCGCAAUGGGCGAAAGCCUGACGGAGCAACGCCGCGUGAGUGAUGAAGGUCUUCGGAUCGUAAAACUCUGUUAUUAGGGAAGAACAAAUGUGUAAGUAACUAUGCACGUCUUGACGGUACCUAAUCAGAAAGCCACGGCUAACUACGUG